AGAAUCAACGCUGGCGGCGUGCCUCAGACAUGCAAGUCGAACGAUUAAAGCUCUCUUCGGAGAGUGUAUAGAGUGGCGCACGGGUGAGUAACACGUAAGUAAUCUACCUUUGAGUGGGGAAUAACCCGGGGAAACCCGAGCUAAUACCGCAUAAUGCAGCGGCACCGCAAGGUGACAGUUGUUAAAGGAGCAAUCCGACUUAAAGAGGAGCUUGCGGCAGAUUAGCUAGUUGGUAAGGUAAUGGCUUACCAAGGCUACGAUCUGUAUCCGGUCUAAGAGGACGGUCGGACACACUGACACUGAAUAACGGGUCAGACUCCGUACGGGAGGCAGCA
rnacentral:rRNA from 1 species